rnacentral:tRNA from 1 species
GACAGCUUGGCCGAGCGGUUAAGGCGAUAGACUCGAAAUCUAUUGGGGGUAACCCGCGUGAGUUCAAGUCUCACAGCUGUCG